AACAUUUUGUAAGCUCGUGCUGCCUUGUCAGCAUUUAGUUUUAUUUAGUAAAAUUUUUAUGUUUAGUUUUGCUGAAGGUCCUCGUGUCAGCCUGCAUCCUUGGGUCCAACCACCUCCAGGAAACAUGGGAAAACAUCCUCAACUGUUUAAUUUUCAAGCCACAAACAGAAGAAGGAGGAGAAAAAGAUUAGGAGGACCUGUUUUCAGACCUCAGCCAGCCAAACCCAGCUUAAUCAUAUCAAAGUUGUAUCUCUGAGCUGUGCCUGAUGGGAGAAGAGUUGGUGACGUUUCCAUCUCACUGAACACAGUGUCCAUGUAACAUCGAGGCCACACUUUGACUUGUGAGAUACACAAACAGCAGGCUGWGAUGGAGGUUUCAGAGGUCGUAACAGAACUGGCAGACAGAAAGCUUGUCCUUGAGAGGCUGUCUUCGCUCUGACUGAUGGUGAAUCAUUCAUGGAGUGCAGAAAACAUGAGAGCUUGAUUAAGGAAGAGGAGAAAUCUGCUGCAAACUUAAAUCAGUCCAGACUGAAGACUGAUUAGAGCAGAAUUUUACAUAAAAAAAAAAACCCUGGAAGGAGCAGAUCGGUGCAUAUGAUGCUUCAAACACCUAAAAAUGAGUUUUCAAUAAACCAUCUUUAUUGCAUUGGGACGUACAUUCAUAAAGUAAAAAUCAAUACAAARAUGCACAAUUCUUCCACACUAUUAUGGAUUAUUUAUUGUGGUUAUAGUUGUGCAGA